GGCUCAGUGGUUCGGUGAUAAAGCGUUCGCUGUGGAGCCAGAGGCUCUUGGGUUUGAUUCCCGACCGGGUCA
rnacentral:tRNA from 1 species